rnacentral:rRNA from 1 species
CGUUCUUCGGACAAUAUACAAGGUGCUGCAUGGUUGUCGUCAGCUCGUGCCGUGAGGUGUCGGGUUAAGUCCCAUAACGAGCGCAACCCUUGUCCUUAGUUACCAGCACGUUAUGGUGGGCACUCUAAGGAGACUGCCGGUGACAAACCGGAGGAAGGUGGGGAUGACGUCAAGUCAUCAUGGCCCUUACGGCCUGGGCUACACACGUGCUACAAUGGUCGGUACAAAGGGUUGCCAAGCCGCGAGGUGGAGCUAAUCCCAUAAAACCGAUCGUAGUCCGGAUCGCAGUCUGCAACUCGACUGCGUGAAGUCGGAAUCGCUAGUAAUCGUGAAUCAGAAUGUCACGGUGAAUACGUUCCCGGGCCUU